rnacentral:rRNA from 1 species
GACGAACGCUGGCGGCGUGCCUAAUACAUGCAAGUAGAACGCACAGUUUACACCGUAGCUUGCUACACCAUAGACUGUGAGUUGCGAACGGGUGAGUAACGCGUAGGUAACCUGCCUGGUAGCGGGGGAUAACUAUUGGAAACGAUAGCUAAUACCGCAUAAUAUUAAUUAUUGCAUGAUAAUUAAUUGAAAGGUGCAAUUGCACCACUACCAGAUGGACCUGCGUUGUAUUAGCUAGUAGGUGAGGUAACGGCUCACCUAGGCGACGAUACAUAGCCGACCUGAGAGGGUGAUCGGCCACACUGGGACUGAGACACGGCCCAGACUCCUACGGGAGGCAGCAGUAGGGAAUCUUCGGCAAUGGACGAAAGUCUGACCGAGCAACGCCGCGGGAGUGAAGAAGGUUUUCGGAUCGUAAAGCUCUGUUGUAAGGGAAGAACGGGUGUGAGAGUGGAAAGUUCACACUGUGACGGUAUCUUACCAGAAAGGGACGGCUAACUACGUG